rnacentral:tRNA from 2 species
AGCCUUGAGGUGUUUCACAUGUAGGAUUGCAAAUCCUGAGUAGUAGGCUAGCCGUCUACCGGGGCUU